rnacentral:rRNA from 1 species
AGGGGCGGGCGUGCUUUACACAUGCAAGUCGAACGGAAAGGCCCAGCUUGCUGGGUACUCGAGUGGCGAACGGGUGAGUAACACGUGGGUGAUCUGCCUUGCACUCUGGGAUAAGCCUGGGAAACUGGGUCUAAUACUGGAUAUGACUACCGGUUGCAUGGUUGGUAGUGGAAAGCUUUUGCGGUGUGAGAUGGGCCCGCGGCCUAUCAGCUUGUUGGUGGGGUAAUGGCCUACCAAGGCGACGACGGGUAGCCGACCUGAGAGGGUGAUCGGCCACACUGGGACUGAGACACGGCCCAGACUCCUACGGGAGGCAGCAGUGGGGAAUAUUGCACAAUGGGCGCAAGCCUGAUGCAGCGACGCCGCGUGAGGGAUGACGGCCUUCGGGUUGUAAACCUCUUUCGCCAGGGACGAAGCGCAAGUGACGGUACCUGGAGAAGAAGCACCGGCCAACUACGUGCCAGCAGCCGCGGUAAUACGUAGGGUGCGAGCGUUGUCCGGAAUUACUGGGCGUAAAGAGCUCGUAGGCGGUUUGUCGCGUCGUCUGUGAAAUCCUGCAACUCAAUUGCAGGCGUGCAGGCGAUACGGGCAGACUUGAGUACUACAGGGGAGACUGGAAUUCCUGGUGUAGCGGUGAAAUGCGCAGAUAUCAGGAGGAACACCGGUGGCGAAGGCGGGUCUCUGGGUAGUAACUGACGCUGAGGAGCGAAAGCGUGGGGAGCGAACAGGAUUAGAUACCCUGGUAGUCCACGCCGUAAACGGUGGGGUACUAUGUGUGGGGGUCCAUUUCACGGGAUUCUGUGCCGUAGCUAACGCAUUAAGUACCCCGCCCUGGGGAGUACGGCCGCAAGGCUAAAACUCAAGGAAAUUGACGGGGGCCCGCACAAGCGGCGGAGCAUGUGGAUUAAAUUCGAUGCACGCGAAGAACCUUACCUGGGUUUGACAUACCACCAGAUGCGCGCAGAGAAUUG